rnacentral:rRNA from 1 species
AUUGAACGCUGGCGGCAGGCCUAACACAUGCAAGUCGAGCGGAUGACGGGAGCUUGCUCCUUGAUUCAGCGGCGGACGGGUGAGUAAUGCCUAGGAAUCUGCCUGGUAGUGGGGGACAGCGUUUCGAAAGGAACGCUAAUACCGCAUACGUCCUACGGGAGAAAGCAGGGGACCUUCGGGCCUUGCGCUAUCAGAUGAGCCUAGGUCGGAUUAGCUAGUAGGUGAGGUAAUGGCUCACCUAGGCGACGAUCCGUAACUGGUCUGAGAGGAUGGUCAGUCACACUGGAACUGAGACACGGUCCAGACUCCUACGGGAGGCAGCAGUGGGGAAUAUUGGACAAUGGGCGAAAGCCUGAUCCAGCCAUGCCGCGUGUGUGAAGAAGGUCUUCGGAUUGUAAAGCACUUUAAGUUGGGAGGAAGGGCAGUAAGCUAAUACCUUGCUGUUUUGACGUUACCGACAGAAUAAGCACCGGCUAACUCUGUGCCAGCAGCCGCCGCCGUAA